rnacentral:rRNA from 1 species
UCCAAGGAAGGCAGCAGGCGCGCAAAUUACCCACUCCCGGCACGGGGAGGUAGUGACGAAAAAUAACGAUACGGGACUCAUCCGAGGCCCCGUAAUCGGAAUGAGUACACUCUAAACCCUUUAACGAGGAUCAAUUGGAGGGCAAGUCUGGUGCCAGCAGCCGCGGUAAUUCCAGCUCCAAUAGCGUAUAUUAAAGUUGUUGCAGUUAAAAAGCUCGUAGUUGGAUUUCUGGCAGGAGUGACUGACCACAAACUCUGUUUGUGAGUUGUGUCAUUCUGGCCAUCCUUGGUAAGAUCCUUUUUGGCAUUAAGUUGUCGGGAAGGGGAUGACCAUCGUUUACUGUGAAAAAAUUAGAGUGUUUAAAGCAGGCUUAUGCCGUUGAAUAUAUUAGCAUGGAAUAAUAAGAUAGGACUUUGAGUCUAUUUUGUUGGUUUGCGAGUCAAAGUAAUGAUUAAUAGGGACAGUUGGGGGUAUUCGUAUUUCAUUGUCAGAGGUGAAAUUCUUGGAUU